UCAGUUCAGCCGGGUAUUCUCGGUACACUUCUUUCAUUUCACAUGGACUGCGAAAAUAUGUUGUACGUCACGUAAAUUUCCGCGAGUGUUUUUUAAUAUAAAAUAGCACUGAAUAAAAUGUUUAUUUGUUUGCAUCAUCGGCAACUGUAACUAAAUUAGUUCGAGAUGAAAUUACUGAGCAGAAAUGUGGACAAGGGUGGCAGUGGGGCCGUUGUUCUGAUGCCAGAGGAGCCGGAGGACAUGUGGCAUGCCUACAAUUUGAUAUCCGAAGGAGACAAUGUCAAGUGCACGACUAUCCGGAAGGUGCAAAAUGAAACGGCCACAGGUUCUUCAAGCAGCAAUCGUGUCAGGACAACACUCACUAUCACGGUGGAGAAUAUAGAUUUCGAUACGCAGGCGUGUGUGUUGCGCUUGAAGGGGCGCAAUGUGGAGGAGAAUCCGUAUGUGAAGAUGGGGGCAUACCAUACCCUCGAUCUAGCCCUCAAUCGUAAAUUCACACUGGAAAAGCCCGAAUGGGAUACCAUUUCUCUCGAGCGCAUUGACAUGGCCUGUGAUGUGACUCAGAGUGCAGAUGUGGCGGCUGUGAUUAUGCAGGAGGGGCUUGCUCAUGUAUGCCUCAUCACAUCCAGCAUGACGCUGGUUCGUAGCAAGAUUGAGGUGGCGAUUCCGCGAAAGCGUAAGGGUUAUGUGCAGCAGCACGAAAAGGGCCUCACCAAGUUCUAUGAUGCUGUAAUGCAGGGUAUACAGCGUCAUGUAAAUUUUGAUGUGGUUAAGUGCGUACUCCUGGCAUCACCAGGCUUCGUCAAGGACCAAUUCUACGACUACAUGUUCCAGCAGGCCGUGAAUGUGGACAACAAGACUCUUCUGGACAACAAGAGCAAAUUUGUACUUGUGCACUCGUCAUCCGGCUUCAAACAUUCCCUCAAGGAAGUACUGCAGGAUCCAGCUGUGGCCGCCAAGAUGAGCGAUACCAAAGCAGCUGGAGAAGUAAAGGUUCUGGAGCAGUUCUACACUACGCUCCAAUGUGAAUCGUCCAAGGCCUUCUACGGCAAGAAACACGUAACGGCAGCUGUGGAGGCACAAUGCGUUCAGAUAUUACUCAUCUCCGACAAUCUCUUCAGGUGAGUGGAAAUUCAGGAUUUAUUUUCAGUUGAAAACGUGAAGAAGGAAUUUUCUCAGGAAAAUGAAUUUUAUCGCAAUGAAAAUUCACUUGAAAAUUUAGAAAAACUUUGAACUCAGGAUAUUUAUGAAUUUUUCAAAUUCUGUCAAUUUGAACCUUUGGGCAUUUGAAAAUUCAUUUUUUGACCCCUUAUAGCUCGGGUUAGUGGGGUGGCUCAAUUUUUUUUUAAUCGAUAACUGUUAGGUCCAACUGUAAUAUAUUAAAAUUUGGCUGAGUUGGAAACAAAAUUUGGGGGUGUUUGAAAAUGAUGGAAGGGGGGAGGGGAUCUGACUUCAUAAAUUUCUAGUGGUUCAUCGACAUUUAACCCUUGCCGAAAAUCGCUCUCUCCGUUCUCUCUUCAGAAGUGGUUAUACGACGGACGGAACGAGGCGUGAUGUUCACGAAAAUCGAUUAGCACAUAUGAUAUUCCUGAUCUAUGGAUGUCAAAACGUGCAGGUCGGAUUUAAGUGACUACAAAAUCUGAGAUCGUAAAGAAUUUCAGCUAAAAAGAACUUCUAAAAAUAUUUAAAUUACAACGAAGCCUUAACCGUUUAAGAAUCGUACCAAAUGUUAUGUAUUACGUAUAUUAGUUCCUCUAUCUAGAUAGCGCAAUAGAGCACAGAAUUUAAAUUCAGCGACCGUUAAGACCAAGGGCGUACCCAGGAUUUCAGUUAGGGGGGGGCUAAGUCUCAAAUUUUGUUGGCGGGGGUACAUAAUUUUUAUUUUGAAAAAAAAAAAACGUAAAACAAAAUGGAAUAAAAAGUA